GACGAACGCUGGCGGCGUGCUUAACACAUGCAAGUCGAGCGGUAAGGCCCUUUCGGGGGUACACGAGCGGCGAACGGGUGAGUAACACGUGGGUGACCUGCCUUUAGCUCUGGGAUAAGCCUGGGAAACCGGGUCUAAUACCGGAUAUGACUCCGCGGCGCAUGUUGUGGGGUCGGAAAGCCUUGUGCGGCUGGAGAUGGGCCCGCGGCCUAUCAGCUUGUUGGUGGGGUGAUGGCCUACCAAGGCGACGACGGGUAGCCGGCCUGAGAGGGCGACCGGCCACACUGGGACUGAGACACGGCCCAGACUCCUACGGGAGGCAGCAGUGGGGAAUCUUGCGCAAUGGGCGAAAGCCUGACGCAGCGACGCCGCGUGAGGGAUGACGGCCUGGUGU
rnacentral:rRNA from 1 species